rnacentral:rRNA from 1 species
AGUGAACGCUGGCGGUAGGCCUAACACAUGCAAGUCGAACGGCAGCACAGUAAGAGCUUGCUCUUACGGGUGGCGAGUGGCGGACGGGUGAGGAAUACAUCGGAAUCUACUUUUUCGUGGGGGAUAACGUAGGGAAACUUACGCUAAUACCGCAUACGACCAACGGGUGAAAGCAGGGGAUCUUCGGACCUUGCGCGAUUGAAUGAGCCGAUGUCGGAUUAGCUAGUUGGCGGGGUAAAGGCCCACCAAGGCGACGAUCCGUAGCUGGUCUGAGAGGAUGAUCAGCCACACUGGAACUGAGACACGGUCCAGACUCCUACGGGAGGCAGCAGUGGGGAAUAUUGGACAAUGGGCGCAAGCCUGAUCCAGCCAUAUCGCGUGGGUGAAGAAGGCCUUCGGGUUGUAAAGCCCUUUUGUUGGGAAAGAAAAGCAGCAGGUUAAUACCCCGCUGUUCUGACGGUACCCAAAGAAUAAGCACCGGCUAACUUCGUG